ACCUCCAGAACAUUUCUGUGGCAACAGCUCCGUGGCCGGGCUGCCUCCUCUCACAGCCCUGUCUCGUGUCUACUCCCCACACGGUGUCUCUUCUGCCUGUAUCAUAUGCUUGCUCUUCCCUCCUCCCACGUGUCCUCCCCUGUUUUGACUGGACACGUGCUCACAGGUCCUACAAGACCUAGGUCAAAGAGACUUCCCUGGAGGAGCCUUCCCUGGGUGCUAAGGGAAGUGGCUUUUCCUCUCCUCCAUGCCUCGCUGUGUAUCCUCUGAAGCCUGGAGGGCACUUGUAAUGUACCUGUCUUGGGGUCUGUCCGCCUGGUCACAUGCGUGCUCUGGAACGCCAGCGAAACAGGAAAACUCCAGGUUGCAUACAAACGACCUUUGCACUGUGAUUGAGGCGACCGUAGCUGGGGUUGUCCUGAACUGACUCUGAUGUUUAUCAUCAUUUCUCCACUGGACUAAAUGCCCGAAGAGCAACCUUCCUGCCUGCCUGUUGCAAGUCCCAAACACCCAGAUCACCCAGUGCCACUUGGAAACAUUUGGUCAGAGAUGACAGCGAUGACGUCUGGAUCCCUUGAGUUCCAGGUGGACAUUCUGCACUGUCCAAAGACUCGUUUAUUCUCUUGUUCUUUGGAGGGACUAAGACCCCCAAGAAAAAAGCCUCUCUGAAUGGACAAAGUCUCUAAGCCCCAAAUAAAGUUAACCCAAAAUGCCUCCUGUA